UACGUAGGGUCCGAGCGUUGUCCGGAAUUAUUGGGCGUAAAGGGCUCGUAGGCGGUUUGUUGCGUCGGGAGUGAAAACUUACAGCUUAACUGUGAGCGUGCUUCCGAUACGGGCAGACUUGAGGUAUUCAGGGGAGAACGGAAUUCCUGGUGUAGCGGUGAAAUGCGCAGAUAUCAGGAGGAACACCGGUGGCGAAGGCGGUUCUCUGGGAAUAUCCUGACGCUGAGGAGCGAAAGUGUGGGGAGCGAGCAGG
rnacentral:rRNA from 1 species